CAAUAGCGUACACUAAAGUUGUUGCGGUUAAAAAGCUCGUAGUUGGAUUUCUGCUGAGGACGACCGACCUACCCAUACGGGUUUGCGUCUGGUUUGACCGAGGCAUCCUCUUGGAAGACGUAGUGCACUUUACUGGGUAUUACGGAGUCCAGGACUUUUACUUUGAGGAAAUUAGAGUGUUUCAAUCAGGCAUUUGCCGUGAAUACAUUAGCAUGGAAUAAUAAUAUAGGACUUCGGUUCUAUUUUGUUGGUUUCUAGAACUGAAGUAAUGAUUAAUAGGGACAGUCGGGGGCAUUCGUACUUAACUGUCAGAGGUGAAAUUCUUGGAUUUGUUAAAGACGAACUACUGCGAAAGCAUUUGCCAAGGAUGUUUUCAUUGAUCAAGAACGAAAGUUAGGGGAU
rnacentral:rRNA from 1 species